AUGACGAGCACGCCAGUCUUGGCCCUUCCCAACUUCACACGCCCGUUCGCCAUCGAAACGGAUGCCUGUGACACGGGCGUGGGCGCGGUGCUCACCCAAGAUGGCCAUCCUGUCGCCUAUCUCAGCAAGGCUCUAGGGGUGCGGAAUCAGAAGCUCUCCACAUACGAAAAAGAAUUCCUCGCCGUGAUGAUGGCCGUCGACAAGUGGCGACCGUACCUGCAACGUGCCCCGUUCGAGAUUGUCACCGAUCACAAAAGUUUGUGUGCACUGGGCGAUCAGCAGCUGGUCACCGAUCUGCAACGCAAGGCUAUGUCAAAGAUGGUUGGCCUCCAAUUCUCCUUCCGUUACAAGAAAGGCGUCGACAACGGCGCCGCGGAUGCACUGUCCCGGUCGGCCAUCUGCUGGAGCUCGACGCGCUGUCCAUGUGCCAACCCCAGUGGCUGCAAGAGGUGGCGAACUCUUACGAGACUGACCCUGAGUCACAAGAGCUGCUCGCCAAGCUGGCAGUUGUGGGCGAGGACGAUCAAGGUCGGGCACUGCAGAAUGGAGUAA
rnacentral:rRNA from 1 species